UAAUGAUGACGAGAAUUGACAUAUAAAAUCAGUCUUGGUGGAUUCAUGUUUGGUGGCAGAGGCAUGGAGGGGGAAUAGCAGAGGAUGGUAUAGAGCACGGGGAGAGGAACAAAUGUGGCAGCGCAGAUGGAAAAAAUAUUGAUGGUAGAGAUGAAGGGAUGGAGGGGAGGAAAAACUGGUCGCAAUGUGUCUAGAUGACCAAUAAUCUAGUCUGUUUC